CCCCCAGGAAAACCCGUUGUUUAGCUCUGAAUCAGAACAACCAACAACCAAGUUUUUCUUCAGAUUCUCGUUUGUUCUGAUUUAAUGCUAAAGAGUAGGUUGUCUGGGGG